rnacentral:misc_RNA from 1 species
GGUUCCAACUUCCGGAAAACAUUGGUUGGGGUUUUCCAAAACUUUUUUUGUAGGUGUUUAUCGGCCUGUUCCCGAAGUCAUGAGCGACGGGAGAUUAACAAAUGGGUCGGUAGGACACCCACCUAGACUAGGAAUGCAGGGUCACGCUCUGAGCUGGACAGAUGACCUGCCAGUGUGCUAUCUGUCUGGUGUUGGUUUCUCCACCAACCAGAUUUACAGAGAUGAUGGCCACCGACGAGAGGAACAUGAGUUUGAAGACAAGAGCUUCCAUUUUAGACCUUUUGAUGGCUGUUUUCUGUAUGGCAUGUUUGAUGGCCACAGUGGAAGCAAGGCUGCUAACUUUGCUGCUCAGCGGAUGCCAGCAGAGCUGUUGUUUGGGCAGCUUAACAACAAGACAUCUGAUGAAGCCAUCUUAGGGGUUUUGCGCCAGGCCUUCCAUGCUGUGGAGAAGGGGUAUUUUGAAACUAUUGAUGAUCUACUUGCUCAAAGAACAAACUGUAUGCUGGAAAUGCCCGAUGGCAUCACCCAGUACGAUGCCUUCACAAAGUAUCCCGACAUUGUGAACAAGCUUCAGCAGUUGGAUUUGGAAAUAGCAGGGGGGACAACUGCGUCUGUUGUGCUUAUCUACAAUGAAAAGCUGUAUGUGGCUAAUGUUGGUGACUCACGAGUUCUGCUUGUGGUGAAGGAGGACAACCGUGUCCGUGUCAAUCAACUCACGUACGACCACACCCUGAAUGAUGAAUCGGAGCAACGCCGUCUCACCAAACUUGGUCUGGAUGUGGAACGUCUGAAACAGCUCCGGAAGAUUGGGAACUCUGACAACACGCGCUGUAUUGGUGACUACCAUGUGAAGGGCGGUUACAAGGACAUCGAUAUUCUACGUAAUGCAACAAGUGAGCCUGUGAUAGCUGAGCCCCACCUGGAGGGAGGCGUGCCCCUGACUGGCAACACCAGCUUCCUCAUCAUCAUGUCUGAUGGGCUUUACCAGGCCUUGCAGGAUGCCACGGGCACAGAGAAGGUGAAUGUGGAGAUCACCUACAUGGUUCUCCAGGAGUUCGGGAACCAGUCCACACUGAACGGUGUGGCGCAGGCUGUUGUUGACAAAGUUGUCCGUAUACACCAUGACACAUACAUGACAGCACAAGGCUACAGGAAACAGCUAUGCCAAAAGAGAGAUGAUAUCACACUGUUAGUACGAAACUUUCACCAGCCUUUACGUAAUGGAGUUGAAAGUCCAACUGCAGCAACACGAUACAACCCUGUGCCUGUCUCUCUGCCCUCUUUCUUCAACUCCCCGCCCCCUGCAGCUGUCCCGAGUCUGAACAUCCCCAGCCCAAUUAGUCCCUCCAACAGCAACUACUCCCACUCCAACCUCUCCGUGGGCAGCUAUAGUGACUCCCAGCCCCUCACCCCUACCAACAACCCUGGCAGUCAGUACCUCACCACGGAGACCACCAUGGGCACGAGGACCAGCACCGGUACCAGCACAAACUCCACGCAGAGCUCCGGUGACGCUCGACCCUUCCAGCAGAGGUACCAGGCUCCAAAGCUGGAGCUUGAUGAGAAUGGCAGAGUGGAAGCUUAUGUGGAUUUCUCAGAGUUCUUCCGUGCCAUUGAGAGGCUUACAGGUGACCAGCAAGCAUCUUUUGAAGCAGACGUCAACCCCAAGUCCAGCUAUGAUCCCAUCAGCGAGGAAUCGGAGACUGCCACAGGACCAGAAGACUGAGAGGAUGUGAAUGAUGUGUGCACGAACGAGAACAAGGUGUGACUACAGAUAAUCAUUAGGAUGAGUGCUACUGAAUUAUCAGGAUUUCAGCAGUAGGUUUGCUGGACAACUACUCCGCAUAACUUCUAACACUUUAAUGGAUCAACGUUUCUUCAAUAUCGCUCUCAUUUUUCCACCAUCUAGAUCAUGCCAUUUAUCUUAUCUCCAUUCUGUUAUCAAAAGUACCCUGUACCCAUUUACCAAAUGCUGUCAAUAAGCAAAUAGAAAAAUAGUGGUUAUUUCACUUUUCAGCAUCCUUGCAGAGAAUGUCUCUCUCUCAUGGAUGUAUUUUAUAUGGACGUGGCUUAUUUCAAAUCAAAUGAAAAACAGUGGUAGCUAAUGGCUCCAGGAUAUUAUUGUUUACAGAAAGUUGAUAUAAUCUAGAUGAUUGAGGAUGAUUUUCUUGCUGCCAGUCACUGUAACUUGGCUCAGAAUAAUAUUUAUUGGCAUUUGUUCGAUGGACCAGUGCAUAAUGGAACAGUUCAUUGUGUAGUGGACCAGUGGUAUAAUGCAUGUGCCUGUAUGACGAGUGCAACCCUGUCAAGACCUGGAGACUGGAUCCUGCUGGACCAGUGCAACCCUGUCAAAACCUGGAGACUGGAUCCAGCUGGACCAGUGCAACCCUGUCAAGACCUGGAGACUGGAUCCAGCUGGACCAGUGCAACCCUGUCAAGACCUGGAGACUGGAUCCAGCUGGACCAGUGCAACCCUGUCAAGACCUGGAGACUGGAUCCUGCUGGACCAGUGCAACCCUGUCAAGACCUGGAGACUGGAUCCAGCUGGACCAGUGCAACCCUGUCAAAACCUGGAGACUGGAUCCUGCUGGACCAGUGCAACCCUGUCAAGACCUGGAGACUGGAUCCAGCUGGACCCGGGCAACCCUGUCAAGACCUGGAGACUGGAUCCAGCUAGCAGGUCGUUCAGCCUGGUUGUCUCAUGUCAGGAAGGUAUCAAUCAGGGAUAUGCUGUUGUCAGUACUAAGAUGUUUUGGCAGUAAAACAGUAAAUAAUAUAAUGGUGUGCACAAUAAUGACAUGUAAGGUGGGUUACGAUGCUUUACCUCAGUACUAGAGUAGAACCACCAGCAUAAUGAGUAUAAGGUUUUGGCAGCAUCCUGCUACAUGUUCCAGACUGAAGCAUUCAUUGUUAAGGAUCCAUUGUGGAGUGUCCACUGUAGAGAGUCAGUUGUGGAGCUUCCAUUGUGGGGUAUCCUAUAGAGUGUCCAGAUCACAUGCACUGCUGUAAGGCAGAUAAUCAGCAUGAUGUAUGUUGUGGAGAGUCCAUUGUGGAGCAUCCAUUGUGGAGAGUCCAUUUCCAUUGUGGAGAGUCCAUUGUGGAGAGUCCAUUGUAGAGCAUCUAUUGUGGAGCAUCCAUUGUGGAGUAUCCAUUGUGGAGAGUCCAUUGUGGGUGGAGUCCAUUGUGGAGCAUCCAUUGUGGAGAGUCGAUUGUGGAACAUCCAUUGUGGAGAGUCCACUGUAGAGCAUCCAUUGUGGAGAGUCCAUUGUGGAGCAUCCAUUGUGGAGAGUCGAUUGUGGAACAUCCAUUGUGGAGAGUCGAUUGUGGAGCAUCGAUUGUGGGGCAUCGAUUGUCCAUAUCACAUGAACUGCUGUAAGGCAGAUAAUCAGCAUGAUGUAUGUUACUGGUCAUAUACCAGAUCCAGAGUUCCUGCUGUGAGUUGAUGUGUGUGAGAUCUGCUGCUUUAGUGUGGUGCUGUAUGCGUAUCAUCAGCUUAGUAACUGCGUGUACAGUAGAUGUGUAUUGGUUUACACAUAUGCAAGUGAUGAACAAUAUAUUUUAUUAUCUAAAAACCAAUUUUAUACAUUGUCUAAAGAUAUUAACGUUCAUGUAACUGCCAGACUGACUUGAACAUAGUGCAUUUAGCAGUAUGUUUAGAUAGGUUUUGAAAAACAAAUGUCUCAUCCUGUUUUUUUACCCUGAAUAACCAGACAACCGUAAACCAUGACUUAAAAAACCAUUUGGCCUUGAAGUUAUAAUGUGCAUGUGUGGAAGUUCCACCUGACUGUAACAAUAGCUGGCUGGGGUGAAUGCCUUGUAUGUAUAGAUGUGUCAUCUGUGUCAAGAUCUCAGUAAAUCCGAUCUAUUACUCUGAUGUCACUCUGAGAUAUGAAAACCCCUCACGAAAACUGUGUCAAUUUGUGCCAAGGCUGCUGAAUUCUGGGUUUAUCAAGUUUCUGUGUCUCGUCUGCACAGACAGUCCUGAAUGUAAAGAAAAGAGCCACACCAUUAUAUUGUGGAUAUCUUAGACACUUUUGCUUCUUUCCAUAAAAACAAAUCAAAAUUAGUACCAUCAGAGCAGUGUUUGGGUUCACUGGUAAAACAUAAAUUUCUUAAUUGAGGUGGUCAUGGAAAGAAGCCAUAUCAUAUAUAAAACCCAAGAUCUAAUUGGCUAAAUAGCCAUCACAUCCUUCAUUUUGAAUCUGUUUUGAGGGCUCAUAAAAACUUCUGUGGAGGUUUCCUGAGAUCUCCACCUAGAGAGGUAUCCUAUGAGGAAAGAACAUCUAAUUAUAUUAAGAUAGACUCUCACUGCUUUGUUCAGCUCUGCUUUGUAGGGGAGUAGAACAAGUGGUUGUCUGUCAGACCAAAAACCUGGUUUGUUUCCCCAAGCGGUGACAAUAUGUGAUGCCCCUUUUGGGUGUCCCUGCUGUGAUAGUGCUAACAUCGUGUUAGAAUAUAGUGUAGAUAUGUAACUGUAAUCAACUUGUAUAUAGAUUUAAUGUGUGUUUUAUGUAUGUAAAUAGUGUAAAUCACUUGUAAAGUCUAUUUCCAGUGUCAUUUCUUUGUAAGUGCAAUUUUUAAUAGACACUGUUAAGUAUGAGGUAAAUGACAUUGUUGAGAUUCAGUUUGUUUCUUGUAAAAACUAUCACAUAUAUAAUCAAGCAUGUCAUUUAGAAUAUACACCAUUGAACUU